UCAAAAACAUAGAGAAAGAGAGGGAAAAAAAAGGUCAUUGGCUGGAGUAAAGAGAUUCCAAGAAGUUCUUAGUGAAAAUCAACCUGAAGAAGUGAAUUGAGCUCAGUUUUGGUCAGGAAAGUGAUGUGUAAUGGGACCAAUGAACUAAAGCCUAGUGCCAACUUUGGUUGUACAUAUGAAUAAAUAAAGGUUGUGUGGGAGUGGUUUAUGUUUGUGUAUUAACGACUUGUGGAAUUAGGUUUUUUUGUGUCUUAUGUACGAUGAAUAAAAUUAUGCAACUCAUGUAUUAAAUAUUAGAGACGCUUAAUAUGUAAAAUAAAUAAAGUUGAGAAACUGUUUUAU